CCAGCAGCCAAAGUUGUUCAUCAGGUUCAUCAUCUGUGAAAAUCGCACGCUCCUGGAGUUGCUGCGUGAAAAAGUUCAAAAAGUCGUGAAAUUACCAUUCAAACCCCGUCAAAAGUGUGAAUUAUCGCUGUCGAAGGCACCUAAAUUACUAGCAUAAACAACAAUGGCACGCUACCGCGAGUGGGACCUCCAGUGCAAGGUCUACGUUGGCAAUCUGGGAUCGUCCGCCUCCAAGCACGAGAUCGAAAGCGCCUUCGGAAAGUACGGCCCGCUGAGAAACGUUUGGGUGGCCCGCAAUCCGCCCGGUUUCGCUUUCGUCGAAUUCGAGGACAAACGUGACGCCGAAGACGCAGUGCGAUCGUUGGAUGGAACGAGAUGUUGCGGAACUCGCAUCCGAGUGGAGAUGUCCUCCGGCCGGACCCGGCGUGAUGACCGCAGAAGGCCCCGUCGCUCGUACAGGGCAAGCUCUUCCAAGAAACUCUGCGUCAGCAACUUCCGCCACAGAACUUCAUCUAACCAACCUUCUACUAGUAGUUCGUCUGUAAUGACUAGCGAAAGCAUCAAAUCCACCACCAAAACCACCACCACCACAACCACAGCCAUCACCACAACCAACCAAAUCACCACCACCACCAUCACCGCCAAAGAAACCUCUUCAGCCUCUUCGAUCUCUUCUAGACUUGUUCGCUUUUUCGUCGUGCAAGCUCGUCAAGUAGUCUCCCAUCUGCUACUACUAUCGAAAGUGCAACCGCCUCAACCGCAACCACCAACAUCACUUCUUCUACUACUACUACUACCGCUACUACUACUACUACUGCUACCACUGCAAUCGCCAACGUCAGCACUUCAACAACUGCUGCAUCGUUCGACGACAUCGCUCAACCAGCUGAUGCUGCUGCUGCUGCCGCUGAAAACAAGCUUCUUCACUUGCUCUCAACCGCAGCAACAACAACAACAACUUCGACGAAAUUUGUUGAAACUUAUUCUUCCGACCUGAGGGAAAGCGGCCAACCCUUUCAACCGGGCGGAAUUGAGCUUUUGCUUUGAACCACAUCAAGGCUAGCAAAUACGAGCACACAAACACUUGAAACGUGUGCCGACCGCGAAGUAGAUUCUUCGAUGAAUAUCUUCGCGUGCGAUUGGGCAACCAGCGAUCUUCUCCAUCUCCAUCAACGGCGAGCUUCGACGAUCUUCCGGGCGAUCUUCUCCCAACCGCCCUCCGUAGUCCGAAACCGAGCGCUAUCAACUCUACUCGACGGCUACUCAUCUCAUCAGUCUUCCGAAUUGUUCUUCCUACCACUUCUACGACACCAUCGUGACAACCCUUCUACUACUACUACCUCCACCACCACCAAAAAAAAACACCAGCCACCUAUAAUACUACUGCUUCUAUAGUAUCGAAAUGUGUAGUGCGCCAAACCGCAAAUUACGCUAUCUGCAAACGACCUUAACAUCCGCGUAGCCAUCCGUAACGUGUGUAAAAUGUUAGCUCGCCAAAAAAAAAAAAAGUUCGAGCGCUGUAGAUAGUCACCACGCAAGGCGUCACCAAUUUGUGUCGUCGUCGUCGUAGUCGUCACCGUCGAACCUUGGUCAUCAUUUCAACAACACCACCAAAUCAACAUCCUAGCUUUUUCGAAAAGAUAGUGAGAGAGAGAUUCGCCACAGGCCUGUGUCCAAUACAACACAAAACUCAGUAAUAGCCUGCGACCCUCACACACACCUCGUCCCUUGGAAAAGAUCCCGAUCGCCACGCCGUUCCCGUUCACGCUCCCGCAGUAUGAGCCGUGACCGCGACCGCGACCGCCGCAGCCGAAGUGGAUCCCGCGACCGCCGCUAGGGAGGA